UGCCAGCCGCCGCGGUAAGACGGAGGGUCCUAGCGUUGUUCGGAAUGACUGGGCGUAAAGGGUACGUAGGCGGAUCGACAAGUUGGGGGUGAAAUCCCGGGGCUUAACCCCGGAACUGCCCUCAAAACUGUCGAUCUAGAGACCGGGAGAGGUAAGCGGAAUUCCUAGUGUAGAGGUGAAAUUCGUAGAUAUUAGGAAGAACACCAGUGGCGAAGGCGGCUUACUGGACGAGUAUUGACGCUGAGGUACGAAAGCGUGGGGAGCAAACAGGAUUAGAUA
rnacentral:rRNA from 1 species